rnacentral:rRNA from 1 species
UACGUAGGGUGCAAGCGUUGUCCGGAAUUAUUGGGCGUAAAGAGCUCGUAGGCGGCUAGUCACGUCGGAUGUGAAAACCCGAGGCUCAACCUCGGGCCUGCAUUCGAUACGGGCUGGCUAGAGUACUGCAGGGGAGACUGGAAUUCCUGGUGUAGCGGUGAAAUACGCAGAUAUCAGGAGGAACACCGGUGGCGAAGGCGGGGUCUCUGGGCAUUAACUGACGCUGGAGGAGCGAAAGCAUGGGGAGCGAACAGG